UACAUGGGGUGCAAACGUUGCUCGGAAUUAUUGGGCGUAAAGCGCACGUAGGCGGUUCGUUAAGUCGGAUGUGAAAGCCCUCGGCUCAACUGAGGAAGUGCACCCGAAACUGGCGAGCUUGAGUACGAAAGAGGAUCGCGGAAUUCCCGGUGUAGAGGUGAAAUUCGUAGAUAUCGGGAGGAACACCGGUGGCGAAGGCGGCGAUCUGGGUCGAUACUGACGCUGAGGUGCGAAAGCAUGGGGAGCGAACGAGG
rnacentral:rRNA from 1 species